UACGGAGGGUGCAAGCGUUAUCCGGAUUCACUGGGUUUAAAGGGUGCGUAGGUGGGUUUGUAAGUCAGCGGUGAAAUCUCCGGGCUUAACUCGGAAACUGCCAUUGAUACUAUAGAUCUUGAAUUUUCUGGAGGUAAGCGGAAUAUGUCAUGUAGCGGUGAAAUGCUUAGAUAUGACAUAGAACACCAAUUGCGAAGGCAGCUUGCUACAGGAAUAUUGACACUGAGGCACGAAAGCGUGGGGAUCAAACAGG
rnacentral:rRNA from 1 species